rnacentral:rRNA from 1 species
CAGUCGCCACGGUAAUACGGAGGGAGCUAGCGUUGUUCGGAAUUACUGGGCGUAAAGCGCACGUAGGCGGUUAUUCAAGUCAGAGGUGAAAGCCCGGGGCUCAACCCCGGAACUGCCUUUGAAACUAGAUGACUGGAAUCUUGGAGAGGUCAGUGGAAUUCCGAGUGUAGAGGUGAAAUUCGUAGAUAUUCGGAAGAACACCAGUGGCGAAGGCGACUGACUGGACAAGUAUUGACGCUGAGGUGCGAAAGCGUGGGGAGCAAACAGGAUUAGAUACCCCCGUAGUCCCUGUCUCUUAUAC